AUUGAACGCUGGCGGCAGGCUUAACACAUGCAAGUCGAGCGGUAGCACAGGGGAGCUUGCUCCCUGGGUGACGAGCGGCGGACGGGUGAGUAAUGUCUGGGAAACUGCCUGAUGGAGGGGGAUAACUACUGGAAACGGUAGCUAAUACCGCAUAACGUCGCAAGACCAAAGAGGGGGACCUUCGGGCCUCUUGCCAUCAGAUGUGCCCAGAUGGGAUUAGCUAGUAGGUGGGGUAAUGGCUCACCUAGGCGACGAUCCCUAGCUGGUCUGAGAGGAUGACCAGCCACACUGGAACGGAGACACGGUCCAGACUCCUACGGGAGGCAGCAGUGGGGAAUAUUGCACAAUGGGCGCAAGCCUGAUGCAGCCAUGCCGCGUGUGUGAAGAAGGCCUUCGGGUUGUAAAGCACUUUCAGCGAGGAGGAAGGUGGUGAGCUUAAUACGCUCAUCAAUUGACGUUACUCGCAGAAGAAGCACCGGCUAACUCCGUG
rnacentral:rRNA from 1 species